GCAAGUUUCAGGACACACAGAGACCCUAUUUUGAAAAAAGAAACAAAAAGUAAAAUAACAAAAUUCUAGGUAAAUAAAUGUAGCUGGAAAAAAAUCUUCCUCAGUGAGGUAACGCAGAGCCCAAAAGAUAAAUAUGGUAUAUAUUCACUUAUAUGUGGAUGUUAGCUAUUAAGUCUUGGAUAAGCAGGCUACAAUCAUAUAACCAUAGAAGUUAGAGUAAGGGACACUGGGGAGGAUUGGAUUACCCUAGGAAGGAGCAAACAAUAGAAUAGUUAUGGAUGGCUGUAGGGGGACUGGAGUGGGAGGACCAAACAGGAAGGAAAAGAGAAGGGGGAACGAGGGAGGAAAUUGAGGACAGCUAAAAUGAAGGGCCAUAUGAGGGGUUGUAUGUUAACAAUACAGUAGAGCUUCCUAAGAUAUGUACAUAUAUGAAGGUGAUAUAAAUGAAAUUGCCAAAGUUGGGGAAGACAGAGCCCCAAUUGGACAUCUUUUGUUGCCAAAUAAACACUCUCCUUCUAGGAUUAGGUUACAUCUAAUCCAGUUGGUGGCUAAAGGGGUUCCCGGGGAGCCCUCAAACAACCCAGCUUAUUGCCAAGGCUAUUGGUUGCUUCCACAAACUGAAUGUAAGACCCUAUUGCUGAAGACACCUACAAAACUCACUGAACAUGGAGAAGUUGAGCUGGCACCUACCUAGAGUCUUCAUCCUUACUUUUUUUAAGGUACUGGAAGGUACUCUGCAUGCUACCAAAGGAGAAAGAUAAGUGCCUUGCUCCCAGCCAUCAUCAGAGGAGCUUCCUCCUGCAGCAGAUGGGAACAAAUACAGAGACCCACAGCUGGACACUGAUGGGGGAUGUCCUUCUUGGCUGAAGGCUGUUACAGUAAUCUCCAACUGGUCAAAACACAGAGAAGUGACUGUGAGGUACCCAACUCCAUUUGGUACAUCUACAUACAACACAAACUAUAUACCUAAAGCUCAGAGAACACUGCAGAAGAGCGUGGCAAAAACGUUUUAAAAUCCAGAGAACCAGGAUGCCUGCUGUAAGAUUGUGUUUUUAAGAUGGUCCAUGAUCCUGAUGUAGCCAACAUCCUGGCGUCUCCAAGGCGACUUAGGCUUCACUUUACAGCUUCAUGCAGUGGCCUCUUAGGGUCUCUCUGCAAGGGACUCCAGGACUGAUAAACACUGCCCAGCCUUAGUGGAUCUCUGGAAUCACCGAACAAACCUCUGUGACCCCUCAAUUUUGUGUCUUUCAUGCCUGCCAAGCCAGUACCACACAGACGUUGCUGCCAAGUUCUACUGUAUCUUGGUUUAAAACCUGGCGCUCUCUGGUCUACAGCAACGUGGACCUUUGUGUACUGAUUCCUGGAGAAACAUUUGGUUUGUUUUUCUAGAGAACUCCUUCAGUGGCAUUCUGAAUUAUGCUUUCUCCUUUGAAGUGAACUUGCAUUUUUUCAAAAUGGAACCUUCCAUGGGUGUGGUCUUGCCCUCGGUAUCUUUCCUAUUGUUUCUCAUGCAUCAGAUUUCUCUUUUUUGAAGUUUUCUUUUUAAUAAUUAUGGCAGUACCUAUCUUGUCUUCAAUUUUACACUUGUUCAUCAUUUCUUCCUCCCCAAACAGCAACAUUAAAAACAAUAAAAACAAAAACCAUCUUUCUGUCCGUUUUUAUUGUAGACCUGGAUAAAAGCAGUGAGCAGUAGCCAUUCCACAGUAUGAACGCUAGCCUGCUUUAAAAUUUCCUUUGCUGAACACAUUGGUCCAUUACUUUUAAAUUCAGUCUCCCUCACAUUCUCAGACAGGGUCAGAAUACAGUGAGAUUCUUUGUCACCGGUAGACUUAACUUAGCGCCCAAUAGAGUCUUUGUUCCUCCUUGAACCUUAGGAGCUUGGCCAUGUCUACUGUUUGUGCUUCUGACAUACUAAUCCUUUAAUCCCUACCAGAAUGACUUGUUAAGUACUGCUUAGGUUGCACUCUAGGACUUUCCCUCAAAGUUUCAAACUCUUCCACAUUUCUCUUGCCAAACAACUACAAAGGCUGAACAACCACAGGGCAAUAAGUUGUUCACAGCAAUGACCCCAACUUCUCAGUAGAAUUUUGUUUCAGUUACUUUUUAUAGUGUUGUGACAAAAAUACCCAACAACAGAAACUUAGGGCAGGAAAAGUGUAUGGGGGUGGGGUCAUAGUGGCAGGCAACUUAGGCAGCUGGUCACCUGUGUCCACAGUCAGGAAGCAGAGAGACAUGAAUGCUGCUGUUGAGCUAGCUUUCUCCUUUCCAUUCAGUCUAGGACCUCAGCCCAUGGAAUGAUGUUACUCAUAUUUAGGGUAAACCUUCUCACUUCAAUUAACCAACAUAACCCCUCACAGACAUGCCCAGCGUCUGGUCUAUUCAGUGAUUAUAGAUCCUGUCAAGCUGACCACCAGUAUUGACCAUCACAAAUACUAAAUGACAAUUACUUCUAUUAGGUAUACAUUUUAAUCAAAAUGUGGUUAAGACAUUAACUUCCUUAAGAAAAUUGUCAAGUAUUGUCAAAUAAUGAAACUGUACCUUCUGUUUAUUAUUAAAGACAUUAUCAUAUGAGUAAAUGACCAAUAAACAGGUGGGGAAAUUGAAGAUUACAUGUUUUAAAAAUAUGUAAAUAUGUAAUCACUCACUAGUGAAUGAUGCCUUACAUGAAAUGUCUAACUAUACAACCUAUUACUAUGCAUUUUA